rnacentral:rRNA from 1 species
CAGCCAGCCCGACGGUAUUACGGUAGGGGUGCGAGGCGGUUAAUCGGAAUUACUUGGGCGUAAAGCGCAUGCCAGGUUGGUUUUGUUAAGUUCAAGAUGUGAAAGCUCGGGGGCUCAAACCUCGGAACUGCAUUUUGAAACCUGCGGGACUAGAGUUCUGUAGAGGGGGGUAGAAUUUCAGGUGUAGCGGUGAAAUGCGUAGAGAUCUGAAGGAAUACCGGUGGCGAAGGCGGCCCCCUGGACAGAUACUGACACUCAGAUGCGAAAGCGUGGGGAGCAAAACAGGAUUAGAUACCCUGGUAGUACACGCCGUAAAACGAUGUCUACUUGGAGGUUGUGGCCUUGAGCCGUGGCUUUCGGAGCUAACGCGUUAAGUAGACCGCCUGGGGAGUACGGUCGCAAGAUUAAAACUCAAAUGAAUUGACGGGGGCCCGCACAAGCGGUGGAGCAUGUGGUUUAAUUCGAUGCAACGCGAAGAACCUUACCUACUCUUGACAUCCAGAGAAGCCAGCGGAGACGCAGGUGUGCCUUCGGGAGCUCUGAGACAGGUGCUGCAUGGCUGUCGUCAGCUCGUGUUGUGAAAUGUUGGGUUAAGUCCCGCAACGAGCGCAACCCUUAUCCUUGUUUGCCAGCGAGUAAUGUCGGGAACUCCAGGGAGACUGCCGGUGAUAAACCGGAGGAAGGUGGGGACGACGUCAAGUCAUCAUGGCCCUUACGAGUAGGGCUACACACGUGCUACAAUGGCGCAUACAGAGGGCAGCCAACUUGCGAAAGUGAGCGAAUCCCAAAAAGUGCGUCGUAGUCCGGAUUGGAGUCUGCAACUCGACUCCAUGAAGUCGGAAUCGCUAGUAAUCGUAGAUCAGAAUGCUACGGUGAAUACGUUCCCGGGCCUUGUACACACCGCCCGUCACUCCAUGGGAGUGGGCUGCAAAAGAAGUGGGUAGUUUAACCUUCGGGAGGACGCUCACCACUUUGUGUUCAGACCGU